rnacentral:lncRNA from 1 species
GGAGGAGUGAUUUGGGGAUUUUUGAGUGUAAUCCAAUAGCUAAAACUAUGCAAUGCACUAACCACUCCAUUUCAGAACGAAUUUGGAACGAACCUGAAUUGUCCAAUUUCAUGGACCAAUCGAUAUCGGAUUGAGUCAAAAACUUGGGGAAUAUCAUAAUGUGGUGGGAGGAGUCAUUUGGUGGCUUUUGAGUGAAAUCCGAUCUCUACAACUAUGGAAUACACCAACCACUCCAUUUCAUAACGAACUUCGUACAAACCUGAAUUGGUCUGGGAGGAGUCAUUUCAUGUGUUUUCA